GACGAACGCUGGCGGCGUGCUUAACACAUGCAAGUCGAACGGAAAGGCCCUGCUUUUGUGGGGUGCUCGAGUGGCGAACGGGUGAGUAACACGAGAGCAACCUGCCCUGGACUUUGGGAUAACUUCAGGAAACUGGGGCUAAUACCGGAUAGGAGCUCCUGCUGCAGGGGGGGGGUGGGAAAGUUUCGGCGGUUGGGGAUGGACUCGCGGCUUAUCAGCUUGUUGGUGGGGUAGUGGCUUACCAAGGCUUUGACGGGUAGCCGGCCUGAGAGGGUGACCGGCCACAUUGGGACUGAGAUACGGCCCAGACUCCUACGGGAGGCAGCAGUGGGGAAUAUUGCCCAAUGGGCGGAAGCCUGAUGCAGCAGCGCCGCGUGCGGGAUGACGGCCUUCGGGUUGUAAACCGCUUUCGCCUGUGACGAAGCGUGAGUGACGGUAAUGGGUAAAGAAGCACCGGCUAACUACGUG
rnacentral:rRNA from 1 species